rnacentral:lncRNA from 1 species
UAAGACCAGCGAUUGGCUAUCUGUUUCCUGUUUUGUUUCGUGGAGUUAGAUGUAAGACCAGCGAUUGGCUUUCUGUUUCCCAUUUGUUUUUGGAGUUGGAUGUAAGCCCAGCGAUUGGCAUUCCAUUUCCAGUUUUUGUUCUCUCUUGAGACUCGCUUGUUGUAUCCCCAUAGGUUUGCUAGACUUCGCAUAGUCUCUCGUUUGCAUGUCAACUAAGGUAGCACGGUUCCUUCGUCUAGGACUUCCUUUCUUGCAUGAGCAUUCCUAAAACACAAAC